CCUACGGGGGGCAGCAGUGAGGAAUAUUGGUCAAUGGCCGGGAGGCUGAACCAGCCAAGUCGCGUGAGGGAAGACGGCCCUACGGGUUGUAAACCUCUUUUGUCAGGAAGUAAGGUGCAGGUCGGGACCUGCUUAGAGAGUACCUGAAGAAAAAGCAUAGGCGAACUCCGUCCCAGCAGCCGCGGUAAUACGGAGGAUGCGAGCGUUAUCCGGAUUUAUUGGGUUUAAAGGGUGCGCAGGCGGAGGCACAAGUCAGCGGUAAAAUCGCGUGGCUCAACCCCGCUCCGCCGUUGAAACUGUGUGCCUUGAGUGCGCGAAGGGUACGCGGAAUGCGUGGUGUAGCGGUGAAAUGCAUAGAUAUCACGCAGAACUCCGAUGGCGAAGGCAGUCUACCGGCGCGAAACUGACGCUCAUGCACGAAAGCGUGGGUAUCGAACAGGAUUAGAUACCCGAGUAGUC
rnacentral:rRNA from 1 species